rnacentral:rRNA from 1 species
CCUACGGGUGACAGCAGUAGGGAAUCUUUCACAAUGGGCGAAAGCCUGAUGGCGCAACGCCGCGUGCAGGAUGAAGGCCUUCGGGUUGUAAACUGCUUUUAUAAGCGAGAAAUAUGAUGGUAACUUAUGAAUCAGGCUCGGCUAACUACGUUCCAGCAGCCGCGGUCAUACGUAGGAUCCGAGCAUUAUCCGGAGUGACUGGGUGUAAAGAGUUGCGUAGGUGACAUAAUAAGUAGCUAGUGAAAUCUGGUGGCUCAACCAUUCAGACUAUUAGCUAAACUGUUAAGCUCGAGACCGUUAGGGGUAACUGGAAUUUCUAGUGUAGGAGUGAAAUCCGUAGAUAUUAGAAGGAACACCAAUAGCGUAGGCAGGUUGCUGGGACGGUUCUGACACUAAGGCACGAAAGCGUAGGGAGCAAACGGGAUUAGAUACCCGAGUAGUC